GACGAACGCUGGCGGCGUGCUUAACACAUGUAAGUCGAACGAUGAAGCCGGAGCUUGCUCCGGUGGAUUAGUGGCGAACGGGUGAGUAACACGUGAGCAAUCUGCCCUUGACUCUGGGAUAACUGCGGGAAACUGUAGCUAAUACCGGAUACGACACCUUGGGGCAUCCCAGGGUGUGGAAAGAAUUUCGGUCAAGGAUGAGCUCGCGGCCUAUCAGCUAGUUGGUGAGGUAAUGGCUCACCAAGGCGACGACGGGUAGCCGGCCUGAGAGGGUGACCGGCCACACUGGAACUGAGACACGGUCCAGACUCCUACGGGAGGCAGCAGUGGGGAAUAUUGCACAAUGGGCGAAAGCCUGAUGCAGCAACGCCGCGUGAGGGAUGAAGGCCUUCGGGUUGUAAACCUCUUUUAGCGGGGAAGAAGCGAAAGUGACGGUACCUGCAGAAAAAGCACCGGCUAACUACGUGCCAGCCGCCGCGGUAA
rnacentral:rRNA from 1 species